rnacentral:lncRNA from 1 species
UCCUCUCCAGAGACGAAAGUCAGGCAUGUUCGGCGGCAGGUUCGGCGGCCGAAUCUCCACGCCAGAGCCGAAAGUCCAAACCUUCGGGGGCGAGUUUAGGCGGCCUAUCCCACCUCCUCAAGGGUUCGACGGCCGAAACUCCUUUCGGCGGCCGAACCUGAGUUCCUCCAGAACCCAGAUCCAUGCACCAACAAGCCUCCCUAAACCUUCCUAACCCUCUUAACAUGCAUAUAACCUC